GCUUAGUAGCGGCGAGUGAAGCGGCAAAAGCUCAAAUUUGAAAUCUGGCACCUUCGGUGUCCGAGUUGUAAUUUGAAGAUUGUAACCUUGGGGUUGGCUCUUGUCUAUGUUUCUUGGAACAGGACGUCACAGAGGGUGAGAAUCCCGUGCGAUGAGAUGCCCAAUCCUAUGUAAGGUGCUUUCGAAGAGUCGAGUUGUUUGGGAAUGCAGCUCUAAGUGGGUGGUAAAUUCCAUCUAAAGCUAAAUAUUGGCGAGAGACCGAUAGCGAACAAGUACAGUGAUGGAAAGAUGAAAAGAACUUUGAAAAGAGAGUGAAAAAGUACGUGAAAUUGUUGAAAGGGAAGGGUUUGAGAUCAGACUCGAUAUUUUGUGAGCCUUGCCUUCGUGGCGGGGUGACCCGCAGCUUAUCGGGCCAGCAUC
rnacentral:rRNA from 1 species